rnacentral:rRNA from 1 species
UGCUGUAAAUAGUUUUGUCUUUGGUUAAAGUACCUUUUGCAUCAUGAUUCUUUGAGAUGUUUAGAUUAUUUCUAGUUCCCGAAUGGCUUAUGAUUUUCAUUGAUUCAUAGCAAGUUUGUGCAUAGAUAAGUUGUUGUGUAAACAUUUGUAGAAAUCAUUGAGGUUGUGAUAAAUAAUUCGUAUAGUCUGAUAACUGGUUUAUAGCUUGAUUAUUUCAACGAAAUAAAGAUUGAUUGUGUUUAUCUUUACUGAUAGAGAUAGUUUAUAUGUUGUUGUUGAGUCUUGGAUUAGAAUUGUCCUAGGAUAAGUUAGUUAUUUACUUGACAUUUUAUUUGUAUGUUUUCUUAUUGUUGAUGGCUAUAUUCUUAAUUAUUUGUUUAAUAAUGAAGAAAUGAGUAGGAUUAUGUUUUAUUAGUCCGUUAUUUGUCUUUAAUUCUGUUCAACUGUUUAUCAAAAACAUUGCUAUUUGUUGGAUUUAAAUAGUAUGGCCUGCCCAAUGUUGUAAAUUAAUGGUCGCAGUUUUACUGUGCUAAGGUAGCAUAAUAUAUCGCUUCUUAAUUAGUGGCUUGUGAAUGGUUUAAUGAAAUAGAAUAUUUAAAUGAUGACUAUAUCUGAAAUUGAUUUAGUGGUGCGGAAUCCAUUGUUAUAAUAUAA